AACGCUAGCUACAGGCUUAACACAUGCAAGUCGAGGGGAAACGACAUCGAAAGCUUGCUUUUGAUGGGCGUCGACCGGCGCACGGGUGAGUAGCGCGUAUCCAACCUGCCCACCACUUGGGGAUAACCUUGCGAAAGUAAGACUAAUACCCAAUGAUAUCUCUAGAAGACAUCUGAAAGAGAUUAAAGAUUUAUCGGUGAUGGAUGGGGAUGCGUCUGAUUAGCUUGUUGGCGGGGUAACGGCCCACCAAGGCGACGAUCAGUAGGGGUUCUGAGAGGAAGGUCCCCCACAUUGGAACUGAGACACGGUCCAAACUCCUACGGGAGGCAGCAGUGAGGAAUAUUGGUCAAUGGACGAGAGUCUGAACCAGCCAAGUAGCGUGCAGGAUGACGGCCCUAUGGGUUGUAAACUGCUUUUAUAAGGGAAUAAAGUGAGUCUCGUGAGACUUUUUGCAUGUACCUUAUGAAUAAGGACCGGCUAAUUCCGUGCCAGCAGCCGCGGUAAUACGGAAGGUCCGGGCGUUAUCCGGAUUUAUUGGGUUUAAAGGGAGCGUAGGCCGGAGAUUAAGCGUGUUGUGAAAUGUAGACGCUCAACGUCUGCACUGCAGCGCGAACUAGUUUCCUUGAGUACGCACAAAGUGGGCGGAAUUCGUGGUGUAGCGGUGAAAUGCUUAGAUAUCACGAAGAACUCCGAUUG
rnacentral:rRNA from 1 species